UCUGACUUGAGUGCAGANGGGGAGAGUGGAAUUCCAUGUGUAGCGGUGAAAUGCGUAGAUAUAUGGAGGANCACCAGUGGCGAAAGCGGCUCUCUGNUCUGUCACUGACGCUGAGGCUCGAAAGCGUGGGUAGCGAACAGGAUUAGAUACCCUGGUAGUNCACGCCGUAAGCGAUGAGUGCUAGGUGUUAGGCCCUUUCCGGGGCUUAGUGCCGGAGCUAACGCAAUAAGCACUCCGCCUGGGGAGUACGACCGCAAGGUUGAAACUCAAAGGAAUUGACGGGGGCCCGCACAAGCGGUGGAGCAUGUGGUUUAAUUCGAAGCAACGCGAAGAACCUUACCAGGUCUUGACAUCCCGAUGCUAUUCUUAGAGAUAGGAAGUUACUUCGGUACAUCGGAGACAGGUGGUGCAUGAUUGUCGUCAGCUCGUGUCGUGAGAUGUUGGGUUAAGUCCCGCAACGAGCGCAACCCUUAUUGUUAGUUGCCAUCAUUAAGUUGGGCACUCUAGCGAGACUGCCGGUAAUAAACCGGAGGAAGGUGGGGAUGACGUCAAAUCAUCAUGUCCCUUAUGACCUGGGCUACACACGUGCUACAAUGGUCGGUACAACGAGUUGCGAGCCGGUGACGGCAAGCUAAUCUCUGAAAGCCGAUCUCAGUUCGGAUUGGAGGCUGCAACUCGCCUCCAUGAAGUCGGAAUCGCUAGUAAUCGCGGAUCAGCACGCCGCGGUGAAUACGUUCCCGGGCCUUGUACACACCGCCCGUCACACCACGAGAGUUUGUANCACCCGAAGUCGGUGAGGUANCCUUUUAGGG
rnacentral:rRNA from 1 species